UGAUCCCAAGUGAAGCCAAGGGAAAAUUCUGAAUCCCAACUUCAAAUCAAAUUCAAUCACGUUGCUGACCUAACCUUGCUUUCCCUCUCAAACAUACAUGGCUCACCAGAGAUGGAACUCUGCCGCGUCGGAGACAGCGGAUUGGUCUUAACAUCAAAUUAAGCACAACUAUCUUGAUCAUAUUUGAGCCCUCUCUUUCAAUCUCCAUCCAAUUCUCAUUGAUUCUCACCCUAACUACCAAACCGAAAGAACCAAAACAAGAACCCUAAAACUCAAAAGUUAAAUUAAAUCCCAACCUUGCUUCAAAUCGUCCCAAUACCAAAGGGAUAAUAUCCCUCUACCCCUAAGAAACUCUCUAGUAGCGAAAAUGGGGGAGAAAGAGAUGAGAUUUAGAAGACCCUGUUGGAGUUGAAUCAGACACGGCGAUGAAAACUCAGUUGGUGCAUAUGGAAGCCAUUGAAAGUGCAUUAGAUACAAGGUGGUGCUUGCAAGCUCAAGACAUCAAGAAGCACUUUCUCUUCAUUAAAAUGUAUAGCUAUGCAAUAGGGUUAGGGCUUAUCUUUAUAUAAACAUGAUAAAAUGUAAUGAUACACUUUUGUAAUCAACCUUUCUUAUAAAUUCAAAUUAUGGUGAAUGUAAGUUA